AUUCUGGUGUUGGUUUGUGCUACUCUGAUUUUUCGUCUGCAUUUGAGACUGUUGCUUAAGUAGCAUUCAACGAAAGUGUUUUUCUGGCUUACUUCAUAGGAUUACAGACUCCUUAUCCUGAAUUUGGCAGUUGUGGGGUUGUUUUAUGUCUAUCUAUGAAAAGAAGUGUCGUGGAUCACUUGCCGGGUUGGGCUAGGCUCUGCAAAUUCUCACAGAACAGCUUUUUAGAGUCUUGUUUUGUUGGUAAGGUGAAACAAAUUUGAAGAUAAACAAUUAGCAUAUUUUACCUUUAUCGGUAGAAGAGUCAGAAUUGGCAAACAUAGCACAGAUGUUAUAGACCUGUAAGCAAGUUUAUAGUAACAUAUCAUAUCAUUUGGUUUUCAUACAUGAUACAGAAAGGGCUUGUUUUGCAUGACAUAUUCUACUGGCCCGUUAUUAGACAAUUUUUUCUGUAAUACGAAUUUAGUAAAAUUGAUUGAAGCCAGAUCUAUUGUUAGAUUUACCUAUAGUUCACCAUGGGUUUGAACAGUAGGCCUUAUAUCUUUCUAGAGCCUCUUUGCGGUAGUGCUGGCUCGAUUAAGAUUGUGUAGCCUACCUCUAGUUCACUUUUGGUAGAUUAAGAUUAUGUAGUCUACCUCUAGUUCACUUUUGGUAGAUUAAGAUUUUAUGUAGUCUACCUCUAGUUUACUUUUGGUAUGGUAAGCUGGAGAUGAGUUGAAACAUGCCGUUUCAAAAAAGGUACAGUUCUUCCAAAUUUCAAACGAAUGUUUGAAUUUUAGUUUUGACGUCAAGAUCCAAAAUGAAACUGUAUCAAGACCCACAAAUAUUCUACUAUGCUUUUUUAGUGCCAUUCACCUGAUGAACAGUUUUGUAUAAUUUAUUUAUGGGUUAACAAAAACAAUGACUUUAUUA